GGAGCAGGCCAGGCAAUCGCGGCAUUUUGGUGCCGAGGAAAGUCCGGGCUCCUUCGGACACGGCGCCAGGUAACGCCUGGAGGGCGCGAGCCCAUGGCAAGUGCCACAGAAAACACACCGCCUAAGCGCGCAAGCGCCGGUAAGGUUGAAAAGGUGCGGUAAGAGCGCACCGCGCGGCUGGCAACAGUCCGCGGCAGGGUAAACCCCGCCGGGAGCAAGACCAAAUAGGGGAGUGCACGGGCGAAAGUCCGUAACCGCCGGUUCCGAGCGGGCUCCCGGGUAGGUUGCUUGAGGCAGUCGGUGACGGCUGUCCCAGAUGAAUGGUUGUCCUCGACAGAACCCGGCUUACGGUCGGCUCCGGCC
rnacentral:RNase_P_RNA from 1 species